UGAUGAUGAUGAUUAUGAUGAUGAUGAUGAUGGUUAUGGUGGUGAUGAUGAUGGUGUUGACCAUCACCGCCAUCAUCAUCAUCAUCAUAAUCACCU
rnacentral:pre_miRNA from 1 species